rnacentral:rRNA from 1 species
UCCUACGGGAGGCAGCAGUCGGGAAUUUUGGGCAAUGGGCGAAAGCCUGACCCAGCAACGCCGCGUGAAGGAUGAAAUCCCUCGGGAUGUAAACUUCGCAAGAACGGGAAGAAUAAGAGGGGCCAACACCCCAAGCGAUGACGGUACCAUUUGUAAGCUCCGGCUAACUCCGUGCCAGCAGCCGCGGUAAUACGGGGGGAGCAA